AUAUACUGUAUAGUAAAUAGAUAAUGAAUAAGGCGAUAAAAACAUUUUUCAUGAUGAUUUCUUUACUAAAGUGAGGACUUGCAAAUUCUAUAUAAUAUUCUCAAAAUGACUAGGAAUCAGGAGUGAAAAUUUCUUAUGGAAACCAUAAUGUACUAAUAUCCAGUUUUAAUAUAGAUUUGUUACUGUGUUUGAACACACAUAUAGAACUUUGUAUUGAGAGGAGUAGAAAGACAUAAUCUAAAAUGUUGUCAGUGUCAUAAGUUUUAUGGCAGUGCUUCCCUCUUGAUCAAGCACGUACUUAUUUCUAAAUCCUUGGCAAGCAUUAUCAUGACAUGAGAGAGUGCUUGUAUUUCAAAUGGUAAGUGAAAGGAUAAGACAAAACUCAAAGUAGCCUCUGAUUGGAAUAUAUGUAUCCUGACAUGUGGGGCAUUGUAUAGCAUAGAAGAGCUAUGUGGACCUUCUCUGGGCCCCAGUUAAAUGGCUGCCAACAAUUCAACACAUAGAACCUACCUCUUUACCUAGAAAAUGUAGGAAAAUUCCUUGAGAGCCAUAGAGGUGAGCCAAGCUAGGACAUAUGGAUGUGUAGAGAUGCCCUCUUGGUUGGAUUUUCCUCAUUUUAUUUUUCUGUUUAAUGUUGGAUACUUGAGACUUACCUCCAGAAGUAGACACCUUGAUAACUUGGAAAAAUGCUGGAGAUGUAGUGCUGAGUGAACAAAAACAAAAACUGUGAAGACUAGGCCUAGUGGAAUUUGAAUUCUUGCAAAGAGAAGAUGCCUGAUGAGGAUGGGUAGCUUUAGGCCUCAUUUUGGUUUCCAGUGAAAAACCAAGGCAAAUGUACAGCUGUGUGAGCAGGUUCUUUCAAGCUGGACAAGAUAAAAGGCAGCCAUAUUUCCUGGUACCUUUGCCUCUCUUUUCUUCCAGCAGGAUGGGAGGUUGAAGAGGGCUGGGGGUGGGGCGGGGAGGAAAAUACUUGUUAGCAUAACUGGUGCACUACUGCCACCAUGAGGAAAUAGUUUAAAAUCUGCCUAUGCCGGCAUUGCUUUGUCUCCAAGAGGACUUUCGGUCCGUUUGGUGGAAGGGCUAAGCAGGUUCUGGUCCCAAUCUGGGCCUGCCUGGCUUCUCUGAGUUAUUAUUAUAGAAACUCUGGCUAAAGAUCUGAUGCUGGUAUGACGAAGUUGAGGUCUAGCUGUAGAGGGUGGCUGGUGGGUGGGGUUGGCCGGACUGAGCCAUCAGCUGAUAGGAAGUCCCUACACUGGAAGUUGUGUGAUGAAAAUAUUCAGUAGUUAAACACAGAUGAAUCCACAUAUAAAGACACCUCGAUGGUCAAAGUCCUGAAACCGCAGAUAAAGACAAAAUCUAGAGGACAGCUGGAUACAAAAGACAAAAUAUAUUCACUGGCAAGGAACAAAUAUAAGAUUUAUAGCAGACUCUCUAAACAUUACUCAAGCUAUAAGGAAAUAGACUGGAUCUUAACGGCAUUGAAAACAAAACAAAUAAAAUGAUCAACACAGAAUUUUAUACCAUCAAAAAUGUCUUUCAAAACAAGGAAAAAUACUUUUUCAGACCAACAAAACUAAGAGAAUUCAUUAUCAGCAGACCUUCACUAUAAUAAAUAUUAAAGAAAACUCUUUAGGCAGAAGGAAUGUGGUAUCAGACAGACACCUGGGAUUGACACAGAGAAUUAGAGAUCUCUAGAAAUUGUUAAAAUGAAAGUAAAAACACAAGACAGUUCUCAUUUUUAAUUGUUUUAAAAUAUAUUUGACCAUCUAUUAGAAAAAUAGUAGCGUAUUUCAGAAGUAUAAUGACAGUACAAAAGAUGGAAGGUAAAAACAUAUUAUCAUAAGGUUCUUACACUACAUGAGAAGAAAUGUAUUAUUAAUUACAUGCAGACUUUUUUUUUCAUAUGGAAGUUCCCAAACUAGGGGUCAAAUCAGCUACAGCUGCCAGCCUAUGUGGGAUCCGAGCCACGUCUACAACCUAUACCACACCUCAUGGCAACACUGGAUCCCUGACCCACUGACGGAGGCCAGGGACCAAACCUGCAUCCCUCUGUAUCCUAGUAGGAUUUCUUUCUGCUGCACCACAAUGGGAACUUCAUGUAGAUUUUUUAAACCUUAGGUCAACCACAUACAAAUUUAAAAAGAAUUAUAACUGAUGAACUAAUAGUGAUAAAACUGGAAUCAUAAAAAAUACUCAGUUGAUCCACUAAAAUUCAUGAAAAAGAACAAGUAGAAAACAACCAGCAAAAUUUAAAUGCUACCAUAUUAAUAAUUGUAAUAAAUGUAAAUGAUCUAACAGUCUUUUGAAAAGACAGAGAUUUUCAGAUUGUAUUAAUAAAAGUAAGAACCAAGUAUAUUCCGGCUAUAGGAAAUCCACUUUAAAUAUAAAGAUAUUGAUAUAUUUAAAAUGAUAGGUAAUAUAUACCAAGCAAACACUAAUCAAAAGAAAGCCAUGGUGCCUCUCUUAAUCUCUAAAGAGAGCUCUGAUGGUGAAAACUACACAGCAAAACAUCGAAGAAUUAUAUUGGAAAAGACCAACUUUAAGGAAGAAGAGAGCUUUAAAAAAUAAUUGUUAUCAAUAUCACCAGAUAGGCAAGAGAUGAUAUUGCAACCGUGAUAGAAGAAAAGGAUACAGUGUAAAAGAACACAACGAUUAAAAGUAGCAUAGCAGAAAUACAAAGCUCGUAAAAGAGGUUGGAAAAAGACUGUACUUGUAAUUUUAAAAAUUGAAAAAAACUAAGAAAAUUAGGGUUCAUCUGGAAAUGUCAUUUAUUAUCUGAAUAAUAGUUGCCAGCAAUUUAACAGAAAUAUAAAAUGAUAUUCCAUUUUUGAAAGGGACUACCAAGUUAUCAGCGUAGUAGAUCAAAAGAGACCUACGUGAGGACAUAUUAUGAAAUUUCAGGACACCGUAAUAGGGAAGAGCAUAUAACUACCAUAAAAGUAUGAAGAAUCAGAAUGACUUUGAACUGCUGAACAUCAACACAGGAAACCAGAAUUCUGUGAAACAGUGUCUUCAAAAUACUGAGAAAAAAUUAUUUCCAACUCAAGAUAGCUGAGUCAAAAACAGUCUUCCACCAAACACAAAAAUAUUAUUAUUAGUGUGUUAUAGAAAAUUGAAUGGAGACGCCUUAGGAAUCAAGGAAGCCCAUGAGGAUAAGUGACUCAAGAUGGCCUCCUGCAGGCCUUCCAGCAUUGCAGGAACAUCCAGCAUUUUCUUCCUUUUAAUCCUGGUAUCCUGAGACUAGUCCCUACAAGACUUCUUGAUAGUUAGGAAAAUGCUGGAGAACUCAUUCUGAGUGAAGAAGAGCUAAACUAUGAAGCCAAGAUCUGGUGGAAAGUUAAUGGUGGACAAAAGAAGGUGCCUGAGGAGUUCUUUGGUGGUGCAGUCAGUUUGAUCAUUGACCCUGGAACUUCCAUGUGCCAUAGGCAUGGGGUGGGGGGUGGGGAGAGAAAGGAAGGAAGGAAAGAAAGAAAAGAGAAAGAAGAAAAGAUGGCUGAAUGCCUGGAAGACAGGAGUAGUUUAGGCUUCAGUUUGAUUAUAGAUGGAUAUGGGAGGCAAAAUUGCUGUAGUGUGAGCUGGUUUCCUCAAACUCAGCACUAGCACCUCGGCCUUUUGUUAGCGUUUUUUCAGACAAGUUGGGCGGGAGACGAGGCCCCUGAGUCAGGGCUGGUUGACAUUUUUGGAGCACUACUGCCAUCGUGAGGAAAUCAUUUGGUGAAGCGCUAAGUCAUUGGUCUUGCCGCCCAGGAGACCGCGGGGGAGGUUGUGCAUCUCCUAGCUCCAAACAUUGCAUCCUUGCUUUCCUCUCUGAGCUUUCCAGGAUACUUUAACAAAGGCAAGAUAUAAUUGUAAAAGCUGGCUAGUGAGUAGCCAGGACCAGAUGGGCAACAGCCAGGAAGUCAGGCACAGGAAGUUGGGGAAGUGGAACUCCGCCCAAUGCAGACCAGACUGGAGGAAGUGAUUCGUAACCCAAGUGCAGAGCUUAUGAUCUUUUUGCAUCCUCCUGUCCUUUGAGCAAGAGGCAGACACUCUGAGAGAAAGUACUUGGCACUGUGGGACCUUAGCCCCAUUUGGCAACAGUGUCAUAACUCAGAGUGCAAGGGAAAAAAUUUCAUUGUGUAUCAUAGAGGAUAUAUUGAAGAGUAUAUUUGGAGCUGUAAGCAGUAAUUGAUCAUCAGCAAAGUGCAGUUGGCUCUUAGGAAUGUCUUGAAGACAUUUGGCAGAGCAUGCCUCAGAGAACCCAAGUGCCUAGUGAAGGUGAAAGGUAACUGCUGACCUGAAAUUAUUUCUGCUAAAACACACCAAGAGAAAGUUUGGACCAAAUGUGCUGGGGUGCCUGUCUUGGAGAAGCGCUUUAACUUGGCUUCACAUUUCAGUGGAAUAGACAAGUGUAUGGAGAAUUGUGAACAAACUAGAGGUGACCUCAGCUCUGGAAUUCCUUAAGCUCGAGAAUGUUGUAUUCACCUCACCCCAGUUAUCCUUAACAGAAGCCAAAUAGACUGAGAGAGGAUAGAAGCCUAAGGUAAUAGCUCCUAGCUGAAUUUCAGUGUUUCAGUUAUAGUAAUGGAAACAGCAAAAACUGGAAACUAAGAACAACAAUUGUCAAUGUUUACUGCCCUUCAACCAUUGACAUCCAUUACAGAUCAUUAGCUGUCCCAAAAUGAAAAGCAAAAGGAAAACAAGAUAGCAGGAAAGGGGAAAAAAGAAUGGGGCAUGAACUUCCCAGAAGAAAAAGGCCAUGGAUCAGAAAAGUCUAUUGGCAGAGGUUCUCAAAUUCCCCAAUAAGUAAGUAAAUUAUGGUUCAAGUAAUUCUCAACUAUCCACUACUCCCACCUAAUAUAUCCUGAGUGAGCUGCUGAAAACGAAGCCAUCAAUAUUGCCCAGUUUAUGUGAUUAUUUGUAGAAACAGACAAGUUCCUAUGAAUCGCUAGGCAUUAUCAAUUUCUUUAAUAUUUCUGAGGGCAAUUUAUGUGCAUCAGUUAACCUUUCACAUGACCAUAUCCUUCCUCCAGAGACUCUACCCAUAGGAAAGAUUAGGGAUAGUAGAUUUCAUUGAGCUUUUCUUUUGC
rnacentral:lncRNA from 1 species